rnacentral:rRNA from 1 species
UUGACCUCAGAUCAGGUAGGACUACCGCCUGAACUUAAGCAUAUCAAUAAGGCGAGGAACAGAAACCAACAGGGAUUCCCCUAGUAGUGGCGAAUGAAGCGGGAAAAGCUCAAGUUUGAAAUCCGGUGGGGUCAUCCCCUCCAGAGUUGUAAGCUGAAGAGGCGUCGACCGACGUUGUCCGGGCCCAAUUUCCUUGGAACAGGAGGUCAUGGAGGGUGAGAACCCCGUCUGUGGCUCGGAGCCAACGUCCUUGUGUCGUGUCCUCGAAGAGUCGGGUUGUUUGGGAAUGCAGCUCAAAAUGGGUGGUAAAUUCCAUCUAAGGCUAAAUAUUGGCGAGAGACCGAUAGGAAACAAGUAGAGUGAUCGAAAGAUGAAAAGUACUUUGAAAAGAGAGUGAAACAGUACGUGAAAUUGUUGAAAGGGAAGCGUUUGGCAUCAGCCCAUGGCGUCCGUCGAUCACUCGAGCUUCUGUUCGAUGCACUUGACGGACGUCGGGCCAGCGUCGGCUUUGCCUGCCGGAGAAAGGCCUCGGGAAUGUGGCACCCCUCGGGGUGUGUUAUAGCCCUUGGCGUCAUACGGUGUGGCGGGGCCGAGGUCCGCG